GACGCGGCCACCAAGCCACCACGCAGGGGAAGGGCGGCGGAACCCACAGCUCGAGCUCAGGUGAUUCUGACGCAGGCGCUCCACGGAAACCCUCCGAGAAUUCUGGGGGCCGUGGGGCCGCCCAGCUCAGUCCGGAGCUCCGGAACUCGGGGAAGAGCGUCCGGGAGCCGGGUCUGGGUUCCGCACUCCGUCCGCCCCGAUGGCAGAGAGUGAGAUACGGACGCCCCGGGACGAGGGGCUCAGGACCCGGCUACGGACACCUGCCUCCAUCUCCCUCCAGAUAACACAAGUGUGAAGAGAGGGGAGAGCAGCAAAGGCUGAGCUGCGUGUGCCUGGUCCCUUCCAGACUUUCCAGAUAACUUUGCCCCACGGAGGACAAGGAAAGCCAAAAGAGAGAAGCCAGGAUUGUUAGUCUUGGAAAAUGCCUCCAUAUAGAAACAUGAGCCGGAGAAUAAAUCACUUGCCUCUCUAACCAGUUGGAUUUGGUCCGUGAGUUCCUAGUUUUGUUCACCUGACUUAGUCCCUGACUUUUAAAGUCAAGUGCAUCAACAUGCUGCCAGUACUUUGAUGAACAUCUAUACAGGAUCCAUCUCUACAGCAGUGAAUUCCACCUGGGGUAAAGUAUGCAUGUAGGUUAGGAUGCUACAGUGGGACUCUGUCUGCUUUUUCUGUCUGUUUCUGCUAAGGCCUCCACACAUUAGAUGGUCAGUACUCUUUGUUCUAUGGGAAGGGCUAGAAUACCUAAACAGGACUUUCACGGAGGGAGCAACAAACCAGUUUUGUGGCUCUCAGCAAACAUCCAUCUCAAAGGUGAGUUUGGAAAUAAUGGAGAGUAUGUCAGUGUGUUUGUGUCUCAGGCCUACUUCCCACGCCUAUGGGGGAAGGGUGGGACUUAUCUCUCUCUUCCCUCAAGCCUGCUAAGAGGAGAUUAGACUAUAUUUGAGAUAAAUACCUCCAGCACAGUGACAGCCAUGCAGCUCAUGCCUGUGAAAUCAAAAGGCAAGAGGAUGCGGCUGGCUGGCUGCUCUGAGGGCAGAGAGAAAAGACCAGACAGCUCUUGGAACAGACUGUUCUUCCAGUGACGAUGGGGACAAAGAUGCAUGAGUGUAUCUCCAGGACUGGAUGUGAGCUGCAUGGGAGAAAAAGAGUGCAGGCCUGCAGCCCGGGAAAACCCAAAAGGAUGCCAUAAACCCAACAGGAAGAUGGGUUGUCAGGGCCCCAGGAGCUGAGAAAGGAAUAAAAAUGACAGAGAGAGAAAAGUACAUUGUCCACAUCAUAAAUAACACAGCUGAAUGUGCCCAAUGAGGUCCUCAGAGAACCCACAGAAGUGCCCAUGGGAACAGUUCUCUCUGGGACUCAAACCCAGGGAGAGGUGCUUUUAAACAUGCAAAGAGAGGGAACCAUCAUCAUAUUACAUUGCAGUGUCCACAUGAAUAAGACCCUAACUUACCUCAUAUUUCUCCUCCUUCCUCUGCUUUAAUCCAGGAGGAGCCAGAGACCUCUCAGUAAGUGAAGAAGAGGGGAAAUAGGUAAAAAGCCACUAUUCCCCAUGUUAGAUGAGGAAAUAGGAACAUUCUCCUCCUCUACCCAACACCCACUGUAGCUUUUAGUGGCUGGAGUCAGGAGAGAAAAGUUUUCAUGUUAAAUGAAUUUCAGAGGUUUGACUAUGACAUAGAAAUGGAUAUUUUAAUUACUGAAAUAAAACUGUUUUGUAAUUAGAGGUGACUGGAAGACAUUUUAUCCUCAGCAGAAGAAUAGAUAAGGAUAGGACCUUCCCUCCCCCUUGGACCCCACCAAGGUUUUAUCCAGAGGCAGAGGAAGAAGUAACCCUUUAUGUGAGUUUGAAUGGGCAGAAGAAGAAAAGGAUGAAGUUGUCUUCUAAUUGCACUCUAUGAAUGUUGCUUUUUUGUUAACAUAAAUGUCACAUAUAUUUUUAGCUGGUGUAACAAAAAAAAAAACAUCUCAAGCCGGCUUGCAUAAUAACAGCUUUGGGCACAGUCUGAUCAAGGCCCCGGUUCUGUUUGCUAGUGAUCCUCCUGAUUCUGCCCUCUCUCCAUGCUAGUUUCUUCCUCAGAUUGACAUUCCUCUUGGUCACCAGAUGCCUACAAUCAGCGGGUGCAACUCUCUGCUCCCUGCUCACUUCUGAAGGGGAGAGCAUGGAUACCAACCACAGAACAAAGCCCUGCAGUCUCCCGCUGAGUAGAACACCCACGAAGAAGUGUUGGCCAUUUCCCUAUUGCCAGGGAAAUAUCAUGUAUUGGUUGGAUUAGGCCUGUAUUAAUCCAGUUAAUGGAACAUAGUUAAACUAUCCCAGACCCUCCAUAGACACUAGAGAAAAGGUGAAUCCAACCCAAAUGUAAGACUGCUACUCAAUAGGACAGAAAAGGCAUGGAUGUCAGUGAAAUGGGAAAAAAAAUGUGUGCCAAAGGAGAUCAGGAAGGACUGAAUAGAAGACAUGGCCUUUGAAUUGAAGCCUUUAAUGAGGAAAGGGGAUUGACAUUGUAUGAGGGCCAGGGUGGAGAGCGGGUUGUGAAGAGGAUAGGGAAAAUGCAAGGACACUGCGGAUAUAAGAAUUAAUGGGAGAAUCAUGGGCCACAAAGCAGCAGGAUUAUAUUACAGAGAUUGUAAGUAGUGUUUAUUGAAGCACAGGGUACUGGGGAGGUGGAGGAAAGAUGAAACUGUUAAGGAAUUUAGACACAGCAUGUAGUGGUUGGCAGGAAACAGAUGACACUCUCAAACAGGGUAGUUGAGGAGAGCUAAUAAAGGGACCAUUUACCAAGGUGUAGUUAGGAUUAAGAGAAAGCAAACUGGGAUGGUGCUGUGCUAUGGGCUAGCAACAGCAGGAAGUCAUUUCUGUCCCUAGGUCUGAAGAGGGAAGCAGGGGAGCCAACACCAAGGAACCAGAGAUCUUAGAGUCUGAAAGUCUGCAUGAUAGAAGCCAUGGCCUUUAGUAGAGGGAUCUUGCCUACUCUUAGCAGCCUGGCUUGGAGGGGCCUGGGGAAAUAAUACCCCAACCUCUCUCCUCUUCUUCAAUAUUGAUGACUUCCAUUGGUUAAUAUCAAACUGGAAGUUGGAGAGAAAGGGAGUCUAUCUAUACAAGUCAGCACCCUGUAGCCCAGAAGAGAGUAAAAAGGGGGUAAAAAGCAAUUUCCGAGGGACAAACAGAAAACACCCAGCACAGAAGGAGGAACAAACAUUUGGAGGAACAAACAGAAAAUAUCAGAAAACAUUUUAAUCCUGGGUCCUGGGACGUCAUGGAAGGUUUUGAAGUUAGGAGCACCGCCAUCCUCUAGGGGGAGCUCAAGCAUUUCUCUCCACUCAUCCCAAAGGCGGUGCAUCAAAAGAUCAGGGUGAAACUGACUUCAAGGAAAGAGCCCUCGGCUAGAGGAAGAAGCCUGGAGAAGUAAAGGGAUUGCUCCUGGAAUUGGAAAUCUACCCUUUGCACUUCUAUUUACUGCAUUUGGAUUGAUUUGCAAGAAUAACCAUUAAAAUAAUCAAAGCUAAAAGUAAGUAUGUACUGUGUGCCAAGUUCUUGACUCAUUUGGCACAACUCUUCGGAGGUAAGCACCAUUGAAAUUCUCACCUUCUAGAUUAAGAGGCUGAUAGAACCUGGAUUUGAGCCCAUUGACAAAGGACCACUCUCUGCUCUGUUCUGUUCUCAUGCUGCUGGUUUAGUCAGCUGAGUCAAAGGUUGCCUUUGCUUAGAAGGCCUAACAAAACCAGAGCAGGGUCCAUGGAAAAGGAGACAUGAAAAGGGACAUAUUUCCUGGUAAGAUUUGUAUUCAUUUAACAAUUUUAAGCACAUAUUUAAUAACCAGGCACUCACUACCUGACAAGCUCUGAGCCAGGUGCAGGGUAUCCGAGGGAACUAGGAGAGAGGCACUAAGUGCUGUACUAAGAACCUGAAUGAGUGCAUUUGAGUCCUGGGUCUGCUACAUGUGUGACCUAGGAAAAGUCACUUAAAUCAUUUAACUGUCUCCUCAUCUUUAACAUAUAGAUGGUUAAAAAGUACACAGCACUUGGAAUAAUAAACGGGCAGAUUGUUAAUGUUGAAGGUGUGAGCUGCUGUUCUUACAACACAAUGUCAGCCCUUGAAGCUCUUACAGUAGAUGGAAAGAUGGAGAUGAGUAGGAUCUAAUUAUUGGCCAAGUGCAAAGGAGCUAAAAAGGCCACCCACGCUGCUACUUACUUCAGCAAUACCCAAGGAAACAAGGGCAAAAAAAGAGCUCUAGAGGCUCUUCUUGGUCUAGCCCUGCUUUUGAGUUUGGGGCCAAAGCUCUAAUUCACUCUAAUUCAGGGGUGUUAGCAAGGUUCUUGUCUGGCAUUCUAGCUCUGAACAGUUGAUACCAGCUUCCUGAACCAUGUGUUAAGAGAGAUCUCAGACUGCAUGUAGAGAACGUAUGCCUUGAGAGAUAAGUGAUGUCUGCCAUUGAUUGAGGGUGGAGAGGAGGAGCCAAGUGGUUCUAGAACAGUGUCCUUUUGCCUAGAAUGUCCCUACAGCAGGAGCAGCUGGGCAAGACUCAGAAGUCCUGAUUAUAAUCACAGAUUAAGGUGACCAACUAUCCCAGUUUGCCUAGGACUGUUCCAGUUUUAGAACUGAAAUUCCUGCAACCCAGAAAACCUCUCAAUCUUGGGCACAUCCCAAUCAGCUUUGCAGGCUUUCUCUAUCUGACAAUACCAAAAAAAAACAACAACUAUGAGCUCUGACUAGAAGAGAUUACUCUUUUUGUCUUGGCCAAUUUCAGCCUGUGAAAAUGCAUCUUAUUCUGGCCUGUAUGUGCCAGCCAUAUGCCCUCAAAUGUUCCCCCACUUCACAAUAGCUGACCUCCAUACCUCUCUCCUUUCUCAGCUAUUUUUCCUGCUGUAUCCACUGACGCCUUAGUAGGAAACAGAUGGCACCAUCAAAGGGUUUAGCUGAAGAGAAUUUCAUACAGGGAUUAUUUACAGAGGCGUGGGCAGGGUUAAUGGAACCAACAAGAGCUGGGGAGACAGUCAGGGAUUAGCUCUUACCACAGGAGGUCUGCAGGGACAAAGGGAGGGGAUGCUGUUACCAGCCUGGUAAGAGCUGAAACUGUGCAGGAGAGGUCACUGGGCCUGGGAGCUGGAGCCUCUGUCUCAUCUGCGGUGUGGCAGAGAGGAAAGAGGAGGAGGGCAUAAAAAUCCCUGGCCCGGCUCUCCUCCUGCCCUCUGGCCUCUUGCCAGUAGUUUCUUGCCAGAGUGCAAGGAAAAGCAAAUGAAACAACAGGUCUAGUAGAGGGCAGCCUCCCAGGCCGCAGAGCGUGACAGGAAAAGGCAGAGAACAGAUCUAAGAAUAACCAUCCCAGGCCACCCUAUUGUCACUCAGCUUCCAUUCUAACACUUUACUUAGCCAAAGAAACUCAGGUCCUCAACACAGGGAAAACAUAGUCUCAUCAGCUACUGUAUCACUGAGUGAUGAUGUAUUUCAGUCAUAUUACUUCCUGGACCCUAAACUGUAACUUUAGUCACCACCAGGAUGCAAGGCAGCAAAGAAAGGUAAAAAAAUAAAUAACUAUCAUACUACAGCUCCACAUCUAAGCAUUUCUAAUCUAAUAAUCCUGACUUCCUCCUCCCAGCACUCGUUCCAUAAUUCUUUACCCUCACCUAGCAUCUUGACAGUUAAGGUGUCUUACUUGAUGGGGUGAGCCAAACCUUCCUUGCCACAGGAUCCGGGUGGUUCCAUCUUUGUUGAGUUGCUGCCGUUUCUCAUUGGCCAUUACUACUGGACAUGGGAGUGCAAUGAAUCCCAUGGGCUCUAGAUACAGUGUUGUUUCCAUGUGAUAGCAAAAAUCCCAAUUUCUCCUUGAUAAUCAAAAUUAAUCAUACCAGUCCAUACAAACAGCCAAUGCUCUGCCUUUGAUCAGUGUUGUGAACAACCUGAAAUGUUGAAGGGGCAUUCUCAGUGUUUCCUAGUAGAAAUAUAUCUCCCCCUUGGGCACAAGAACCUCACGCCCAUUAGAUGCAAUGUUUUAGGGACAAGAAGACAGUAUUAUUGAAGUGGGUUAUUACUCAUCCUGAGUUCCCAGAGCCAUGUAUUCAACACCAUGUAUCAACCACUGAUCUGACCACUUAUAGGACAGCACCCCAACUUCACAAGAUGUUGUCUCCCAGCAGGCUCCAUAAAUGAGCCUUCGAUAGGACAUUUCAUCAUUCCAUCAAUCUAGCUGCUUCCAGGUAAGAACAAUGAAUUCUACGAUGUGAGCGUAAUACCACAGCUGUUUCACUGUAAAUGAGUUCCUUGAUCAGUGACAAUGCUGUGUGUGACACCAUGGGGAUGAAUAAGGCAGCCUAUCAACCACAUAUGGUAGUGCUGGCGGAAGCAACAUGCACAGGAAAGGGAAGUUACUCUCCAGUAUAUGUAAUUAUUCCCAUGAAGACAAAUUCCUGCCCCUUCCAUAAUGUAGUGGUCUGAUAUUAUCAACCUGGGUGGCUGAUACUUCCAAGAAAUAGUGCCAAAUAAGGGUUCAGUGUUGCCUUCCGUUUUAGAAAUCUGGGCACUCAGCAGUGACAGUGGCAGAUCAGCUGUGAUGUGAGGAAGUCCAUGUUUAUUUAUUUCAUUGCCUCUGUUCCUAUUCCCAUGGCCACUUUGUACAUGAGACAUUUACCCAAGCACAAACAUGGCCAGUGUCUUAGCAUGCUCAACUGCUUUAACAAAACGCCGUAAACUGGGUUGUUUAUAAACAGCAGAAAUUUAUUUCUCACAAUUUUGGAGGCUGGGAAGUUCAAGAUCAAGGUUCUAGCAGACUCUGCGUCUGGUGAGAGCCUAUUUCCUGGUUCACAGAGGGCCACCUUCUGUGUCUUCAUAUGGUGGAAAGGGCUAUGCAGCUCUCUGGGAUUUCUUUUAUAAGGGCACUAAUCCCAUUCAUAAGGGCACUUAACUUCCCUGGGGACUUAACCUCCCAGUGGCCUCACUUCCUAAUACCAUUCACAUUGGUGAUUAGGUUUCCACAUAUGAGUUUUGAAGGGACACAAAUAUUUAGACCAUAGCAGCCAGGGAAGGAGGCUCACUACAACCAAGGGAUAGGUCAUCUUGGCCACCUCCUCAUUUAGCUUUCUGUGAGGUAGAUGUCCUCUGGGGGAACAUUUAUAUGCUAUUCAAAUAGCCUCAAAGACUAGCCAUUUUUAGAGGUCCAUUAUAUAACUUCCCUUUAGGUGAUCUUGGCACCAACCUUCCAGGUCCCUGAUAAUUUGACCAACCCAUUAGCCCCUGCCUGUGUAUUUCAGGAAACCUCAGCUUAUCCCUUCUUUCAUGUCAGUGGCCAACCAGAUGUACUUCCUGAAGUUCUGUCUAUGGGAAGAUUUUCCUAUGGCUUGCAGAGCCACCCCAGACAGAUAAUUCUUAAACCAGACCAGGCCACUGUCACCCUCUUUUCUCAUCAAAGGGUCAUAGGGAAUACCCGGGGAGACCAGAGGUACGGUUUGAGGGAAAGGCGGGAAGCAGUAAGAAGUCUGACUCAUCAGCUUUUGCAGAGAAGAGAAGUGCUGAGAAUAGAUCUGAGGGUGUGAGGGGAUAAAGAAUAACAGCUCACCCACGUCUGUGCAGUUCUUUACCCUAAAGUUUAAGUGAAAUGAUUCUUCAUCAAGCUUCUUCUCACUUGAUUUAAGAAAAUCCUUAGAGAUAUAACAGCAUCAAUAUUGCAAACCAAUAAGGAAACAAAGCAAUAGCUUAGCCCUUGACAUAUAUUUCUGAUAAGUAAUGUAUUUCAUGGUCUUUCCUAAAUGUACAUGAGGUAGAAGUAGAUAUAUCCAAUGUCUAUACUUAAUUGAUUUUUGCCAGAAAGUCUAUCUUGAAAUGUGAGCUUCUGAUAAAUUCCUUCUAUUUGUGCUUUUUUAGAACAAGUUCCAUUUUUAUGUUGUCUUUGUCAGUGACGGAGGAAAUCAGAUCAAUUUUUUAAAGUCAGUUUUUUAUAUAAGCAUUACUGAAACUAUUGAAAUCUGAAUAUGGUGUUUUUAAAAUAAACUGUGUUAAACUAAUUUGUAAUAUCAGAAGUCAGGAAGGGAAGCAUGAGGGGGCAUCUAGGGGCUGGUAAUGUUGUGUUUCCUCCUGUGGGUAUUGGUUACCUGAGUUAAUUUUUUUUUGUGAAAUUACAACAAGCUGUGCACUUAUGAAAGUUGUACUUUUCUAUACAUGUAUUCUUAUUCAAUAAAAAGAAAAAAAUGAAAGGUGCUCCAUAUAAUGAUGACCUUUUGGCAAACAUUUCCAUGAAAUAGAAACUAGAUGAAAAAAUUUUAUGAAAUGCUGCGUAAUUAGUGGAUUCUUCUGGCUAAACAGCCCAUCAAAAACACUUACUAAAGACCUAGAAUUAUUAAAGACCUAAGAAUGCAAUGACUUGCAUUAGAUAUAGCUGAUAGGCCAGUGAGAAGGACAACAUAUCACAGAUUAAUCAAUUCAUUCACAAAACGAAAACACUGAACACUUACUAUGUGUCAGACACUAGUCUAUAUGCUUGAGGUUCCAUGAGUAAGUAAAUCAUUCCAUGUCCUUGUGGAACUGAUGCCUAGUGAGGGGAGACAGCCAGCCAAUUAACAAUAAACAAUGAGUAAAUUACAUGAUAUGUUAGAUUGAUAAGGGAUGCUUAAGAAAAAGAGCAGAGUGAGUAAGCAUUGUGGGGAAGUUUGCAGUUUUAAAUAGGCUGUUCAGAUCGGCAUCACUAAGAAGGUGAUAUUUAUGCAAAGGUAUAAAGGAGAAGAUAUUGGCCAUAUGGGUAGCUGGGGAAGAGAAUCCAGGCAGAGGGAAUAGUGAGGCAGGAGAGAACCUGACAAGUUCAAGGCAAAAAAGCCAGUGUGAUUAAGACAAAGUGAGAAAAAAGAAAAGGAGUUGAUGUGAGGCCCGGGAAUCAAUGUGGGGAAGGAGAAUUCCAGGCUGCUGCAAGAUUUCCAUUUUCACUUUCAAUGAAAUGGGGCACCAUUGCAGGAAUUGGGCCAGAGAGUGGCAUAAGCUGACAAAUUUUGAAAGUAUCUUGCAGCUGUUUUGAGUAGAGGCUGAAGAGGAGAAAUAAUCCAGGUGAAAAAUGAUGGUAGCUUGGACUAGACUGAUAGCAGUGGACAUGUAAAUAAUGGUCAGAGUUUGAGUAUAUUUUGAACAUUGACCCAACAGGAUUUGUUGAAGGACUGGAUACGAGAUUUGAGGAAAGAGAAAAGUCACAUUUGAUUUUGAGGUCUUGAUCCUGAACAAGGAUGAAGCUGUCAUUGACUCAGCUUCAGAUCAGGGAGACUGUGGGCAUAGGAGGAUUGGAGAGGAAGAUUAGAAAUUCAGUGUUGGGCACAUUAGGUUUGAAAUGUGUAUCAGACAGUCUAAUAGAGAGGACAAGUAGGGAGUUAAGUAGAAGAGUUUAGAGUUUAGGAUGAAUGUAUGAAUACAAAUGUAAAUUUCACAUUAAUAGCCAUAGAGAUUAUAUUUAUAAGACUAGAUAAUAUAACACAGAAGAGAGUACAUAAUAGAGACAAGAACCAAAGACUAAGGCCUGGAGCACUACCAGAGAAGCACCCAAUAAUAUAGAAAGAAAGAACAGCCAGUUCCAUCCCAGAGUAUUUCAAGUCUGCAACAGGACUAGUUGACUUAACACCACUUGCCACUGUAAUAAUUACUUCCCAGGAAAAUAAGUCCAAGGAUAUUUUUCCAGUUUCUAUGCCAAGCCAUGAUAAUGAUUAAUUGCACAGUACCUGGCACAUGGUAAGAGCUUCCUAAUUAUUACAAGUUGUUGAAUGAAUUAUUUCAGGGCUCUGGGAAUAAGCCAAAAUCUCUUGAGACUUGAGCCUUUAUUAGAGAGACCUGAUAUAUGAGACACAUUUAGGGCCUUUCCCUUUUGGGCUCUCCAGGAAUAUUGAGGACCAGAUAUAUCAAGGUGAUCCAACCUGAAACUAAACUGGAAGCCAGCAGGCUGCUCCAUGCAAAUCAUCUGUGUUUCCUUCCUAAUCAAUUCUAUCUGUUGUUUUUUUUUUUUUUCCUUGAACAUCUAUCCUUCUGCCUCAGAGCCUUUGGACUUGCUGUUCUCUUAGUCUGGAUCAUCUACUCCUUUGAAUAGCUCAUUGUCUCUCUUUACUGAAGUUUCAGUUUAAAUUCACCUCUUCAGAGAAGCCUACGACUACUGUUGAUCACUAGUGAUCAUUGUUUGGCCUCAGCCUACACUAGUCUCUUCCACUUAUCUUUCUCUUUAUACCACUUACUACUGCCUGCCAUGGUAUUAUAUUUAUUUGGUUGGUUGGUUAUCCUCUGAUUCUCCCACUAAAAGGCAGUCUCCCUGAGACAGGGAUUUAUUUUGUUCUUCUUCCAUCCGCAAUAUGUAGAUCUAGAACAAAGCCUCGCCACUAGCAGGAAACUUGAUAAAUGUUGGUUUAUGAAUGAAUCCACUCUCUCAGAUCUGUUCCAGAUACCACUGGACCAGUUAAAAAUUAUAUGGAUUUCCCACCAUGUGGAAAGAUUAUUAUUCAGCAUAAGUAAAAGUGAAGAACACGUGAUCCCAAACCCACAAAAGCCUGCAAUCCGGUUGCUCUAGGUUAGACUGUUAGGCUGAUAGCAGUUUACUUCCCAUAAUUCUAUUUCCUGCCAGGCUCCCGAGAGGAGAGACAGUGCUUUGGGUGAAGAACAACACUCAUUUUAGCAGAGGUUCCAUGGUGUUUUCCAUGAGAGUCAUCUCUGGGCAAACAAUGUAAGCUUCAAAGUAAAUUUAGUUUCUCAUCUGGGAUGAAUAACUUGUAAUUGUGUCUUAUAAAUUGUACCCAGCAAUCCUUUUCUCACCCCUAGCCCUUGAAGAUUGGAGGAAAUGGUGUUUCUGACUACACCAGUAACAGGAUGGGAGCUUAUUUUAAAGACACUUGUAGGAAAGGCUUUGGAGAAAAACUAGCUUAUCGGGAGACUCCUAAUUCAGGAUCUUAUAUCCUUGAUUAAACUCUGACUUUUACAAUUUCCCAAAGUACACACACACACACACGCACACCAGAAUUAACUGAUUCAGAAUGAAACCAGCUAACACAGUGGCGCAUUGUGUAGAGGUUGAUCUCUAUUGUGACCUAACUCCAUGGACUACAUGGAGUUAUAAGAACCAAAACUAGGUAUUUGUGUGACCAAAAGAUAAGGAAAUUAAGAAUACCUAAGGCUAUUAAAGGAAAAAAAAUAAGAAGGUAAGCAAUAAGAAAAGCUUUCAGAGUCUCACAGCUCAGUCCUCUGUUAGGAGGUAAAAGUUUUAUUUCUGUCUCAAGCGUAGGCUUAGGCAAACCCAAGUCUUGCUCUUUGUGGUGGGCUUAUGAGCAGGGUGAAUGGAAAAAGGGAAAUUCCUGGCAAGCUCUGGCUUGGAGAUGGUACAAAAAAACCUCAGUAAGUAUAGUGUAUUUCCUUCUUUCCUGAAUCCAUACUAACUUGCCCAGUAAAACUUUCUUUAGUCCUUUACUGAUUCCAAGACUUAUUUUAAUUUUUGCCUUUCAAUUCUUAUUUCCUUUCCCACAGAUGGUACUGGCUAAAACAGAAGCCUGUAAAAGUAAAGCUUAAAAGACGUUCUUUCCUUUUUUUGGCUUUAAAAUGUUUCACAUGACUACAUGAUAGUCCCACCUCAUCCACCCACACUUACAUUUUUCCUCUUCCUAGCAUUAAUAGGUCUAAACAUGCAGUUAGGCAGGAAAUUUAGAAUAAGAAACUUUAUUAUUUUCUUGCCUCUUAGAGGAGUUUUCAAAAAAAUAUUGGAGGGGUUCUGAUUCCAGGUACAACGGAGUAAGUGUACUCACACCACCCUGUUCCUCCCACUGAAUGCGGCUAAAAAACCUGGGCAGAAUAAGUGGAGCAUCUGAGGACUCUGAAAAGUAAAUAAUAGCAGGCAGAUUGGAGAUGAAGACCAAAAUGCAAACCUUUCAUUGGAGAACAGUCUUCCCCCACACCAUCCCAUAGAAAUACUGUUCACUAUAUCUGGUUCAGGAGGACUGACUCUCCCAACUCCUUUCUCCAGGAGUGGAUACAUGAUCCAGGACUGGCCAGAAUUCUACAUCAAGCAGCCCGUAGGCACGGAGGAGAAUACAAAUUAGAGGAUCAGCCAGCAAACUUGAUGGGUGAUGAGAACUGUUCAAGACAACCCUGAAGAUGUUGCUUAUUUGAUAAGGUUGCUGGUGCUGCUGCUACUGAAGAUAGAACAACAGUUAAGCUUUCUGUGUAUGUGUGUGUUUUCCAUCUGUUUUUCUUUGUAAUCAGUCGGUAUAAAAGUGAGCAGUGAAGAAUCGGGGGGAAAUAAAUGUACUUUUUAAACAUGUUAAAUUUGGAAAAUAUCUAGAGCUCAGAAGAAAAGUGUAAACUUAAGUUAGAGAUUUGAGAGUUAGUGAAGCUCUAAGAGGGGCAGAGUGUAAAGGUGAGGGCAACAAGUAUAUGUGCACACACAAUCACACACAUACACCGGUGGCAGGCAAAGAAAGAUUAAAUCCCUUCUUAGCAAAACUUCAAUUCUGAGAAGAUUUUUCCUAUCUGAAUUUGUUGAACAAUAUUAGAGAUUUUUUUUUUCUAACCACUUCAUAAAUAAUAAAACUGAGCAACAGAGAGGAUGGGUGGCUGACUUGUUAAGGAACUCCUAAUUAGUGCUAAAGAGUCUUAAAACCUAGGUUUCUGGGCUCCCAAUUCCAGGUUCCUUGGAAGUCAAGAGAAGACAAAAACAUACGAUCAUUUACUUUAUCCCUAACUUCACUUGAAUAAAACAUUCCAUAAGAUUAAGGUUAAUGCUUCCUUUGUCUGACACAUCUAUUUAAGCCAUAUGUCUGGUUAGUUUCAGCACGUUACUAGGCCAGUUCAGCAAUGCUCGAAAGCAAUUCAAUUUUCAAAGAACAGUUCUCGAGAUACAUACAAUAAAGCUCAGAUUAACCAGGAAUCAUCGAACCAGAGUUGUUUUACUUUCUACUUAUAAAGAACAUAAGAAAGCACUCUUGAUCUAAGGCAUGACACUGAGCUGGCUCACACCUGCUCUGAUCUUUAUUACUUUCUGUAUGUAAAAUUCUCACAGUACAGUAACUGUGAGGAAAAUAAUAAUUUUGUGCACAAUACUUUAGGUAGGAAGGAAACUAUAUUAAUAAUAAUUCAAUUUAAGUAGAAAUAUAAGUAAACUUAAUUACAGGCUUUUGAAAAUCCAAGCCUAUUUAUUUUAUCCAGUUUUAAAAUUCAAUUCCUAUUUAUUAACUAUUUAAACCUACUCUGUGGAGCAUACUUAUACCCCUCGAAAUUAUCAGAAUUAAGAAAAAUUCAGUAAUUCCUGUGUCAAAAAUAUUCUGUAAAAGUAAACUGUUCAACAGAGAAAAAAAAAAACAAAAAUACUGCAUGAAGCACAUAUGGUAAACAAAAAAACUGAAGUGAUUAUCAUAAUCAUGAAUUUUAAGAAACUGAAAAUGAUUAUCAAGGUAAACAAUAUAUGAAAUAUAACAAAUCCAAACAAGAUCAUGUACCUACAAAACCAAUUUUUCUAAAUACCAUCCUAACUUUUAAUAGCAGAAAAUAACAUUGUUUACUGCCUAAAACAUUGUACAGAAGAGAGAGCUCUAAAAUACUAAUCACAAGCCAAUAAAUCUUACCUUCUACAACAAAUUGCCCACUUCUGAAAUUUGUUUUCAUUACUACUUUUCUAUGUGCACUAACUUAAAGAAUUGCAAUGGUACAGUAAAAGAUACUUUGCAACUAGAAACAAAAUUCUAGAUUGUUUUCCAAAGUUGGGUACUUGCAUAUUAAAUUUUCUCAAAAGGAGACCCACCUGUGUAAUGUUCUUAUCUAUCUGGAACAGGGGUUGGUAAACUUUUUCUGUGAAGUGCCAGACAGUAAAAUAUUUUAGGUUUUGUGAAUUAUACAGUCUGUCAUAAUUAUACAACUCUGCCCUUACAGUGAAAAAUCUGCCACAGGUAUUACUUAAAUGAAUGGGCAACGCUGCAUUCCAGUAACAACUUAUUUCCAAAAAUAGACAACAGGCUAGAUUUGGCCCAUAAGCUGUAGUUUGCUGAUCCUUCACCUAGAAAACCAAAUUUUCUCUCAAUUUCUCAUUUCCAGGAAUGUGUAUUUAUUUAUUCAGGAAAAAAAAAUCUACUAAUGGUAAAAACUGGUGUUAGAAUGAUAUACUUUAUAAAUAGAAAAAAACUACAGAAUGUUUUCUCUAGAGACCUGUAAGAGUGAAGAUCUGACUAAUAAAUGAAGGGAAAAAGGUCUCUUCAGAGAUGUUUGAGUCUAGCAUUUGACAAAGUCUAAAUGGAUUAUUUCUUCUAUUUUAGCUAAGCAAGGUCACCCAAUAAGGGUUAAAUAAUUUUGACACCCAUAGGUAGUUCUAAAACUAUUCCAUAUUAGGGCAGAAACACAGUGAUAAAAUGAAAUCUUUCAUUAAAUAUAUUAACAUAGUUCUAUAUUUUGGCUGAUGUUCUGUACCACCUAAGACAAUGCUCCACCAACAAGGUUGAAAGACAUUUAUGGUAACAGCAACAUAAUUACUGCAACUCUUGGUGUAUAAUGACAACUGUAUUAACGAGAUAUGAUUUACUCCCUGGAUAACUCCAAGAACAUAGGACACAGAAUAAAGAAGUAAACAUCUCAAACCUUGAUAAAGCAACAACUACAAACUUUCCUUUGCCACUCUCUUAAGUGCACCUUUACUUCCCUGAAGUAUCUGCUCCCCUAGCCACAUGGGCCCAGAAACUCAGAGGUUUCAUAUGUAACUGUGCAUCAGAAAAAAGAGCCUGGGAUGGAAAAAAAGAUGCCUGGGUGCAGAGGUGUGUGCAUAUAUGUGUCUGCCUGCCUGUCUUAAAAGUUUAUGAUUGCUUUGAUAUUUAAUAUAAAGCUUGGAACACAAUCAGACUGAGAAAUAUAAUAAGUAUAGUACACCUAAAGCCAUCUGAUAUCCCUCUAAAUGAAAAAAACAAUUAUUUAAAUAUUGGUAAAUAAAAACGAAUAGGAUACACAUUACCCAUGAGAUAAACUUGUCGAAAAAGUUUAAUAUGAAGCUAAUCAGUAGCAAUCAAUCAGACAAAUCUGGAAUGUAGAACCCUUCAUAAGACAAUUCACCUGGAUUUUUCAUAAGUCAAUGUCAUAAAAAAUAAAGGCAGGGAAUGAAUACAGGUUGGAGACUAGACUCAUAACACACAUACUGUCAAUAAUUAUUUCUUGGAUUAAAAAAGCUAUAAAGGAAAUUUUGGGGGCAACCAGAGAAAUCUGAAUACUAACUGUCUGUUAGAUAAUAUGGUAUCAAUGUUAAAUUUCUUGGAUAAUAAAGUAUGAUUAUAUACGGGAAUUCUUAGGUACAUGCUGAAGUAUUUAGGGAUAAAACACUGGUAUCUGCCAUUUUCAAACGGCUCAGAAAAAAGUUUUAUUAAUAUACAGAUAAAGUAGUGUCAUAAAAUAUUAAGUGGUAAAUCCAGGUGAAAGAUUUUCAUGUAUUAAUUUUUCAACUUGUCUGUAGGUUUGAAUUUUUCAAAUUUAAAAUUUUGAGGGAAGGGGGUUUAUCAGGAUAAAGUCUUAGUUUGGCUCCUUCUUGUGGGGUAUAAACAGAUACUUACUUUCCAUUUCAGCUUCCCUUAGUUUAUUACUCUUUCAGUACCAGACUAUUAUCAAUCCCUUAGUUUAUUCCUCUUUUAGUACCAGAUUAUAAUCACUGAGGCCUCAUUUGGUGAAUUCUAUCAAGGGUCAUCUUGGGAGUCACCUCCUUCAGGCAAUUUUUCUUGACUUUCCAGGGUAGGCUAAGGACCCUGUUAAGACAGUUUGUGUUUUACUACCAUGUAGAAAUUUCCAACUACUUUUUUUUGUCCUUUACUAGGCUGCAGGUUCUGGAGGUUCCAGCAUAGUUCUGACACAUGGUAGGCCUUCCAUAAAGGCUUGUGGAACAUUUACCAUCUAGGGCUAGGUGGUAAGGAGCACCAGAGAGAGAGGCAUAGUUUGAAAUCCACAGAUACAGGGAGGAAGAGGCAUUUUUAUUGUAUCAGGCCUAAGGCUAGGCAAUUUAUGGUUACCAUUUUAUUCAGGUAGGUAAUUUUUAAAAAGAAGAGUUCUAGCUGUCCCUCUAUGUAAAUUUAAUAUCUUAAUGUUAGCGAGUCACUUGGAACACUUUGCUUUACAUCAUGCGGCCUCUGCUUAUUAGUCGUAGAGAAGUUAUUUAAACUCUAAGGCAGUUUUCACACCUGUAAAACAGGGACAGUUCUUACUGUGCCUGUUUCACCACAUUUUAAAAAAUAUCAAAUGAAAAUAUACUUAAGUAAAUACGGAAAAAACAGGCAUUAAGUGGAAAGUCUGCACUGUUUUCUCCCUUAAUUCAUCCUCUCUGCAGCUUCUCAAGGUUCCUCUAGUCCUUCGCUGGCUGGAGACCAAAUGGAAAAGAUAGGUCUCUGUCUACUUCAAGGCUAACCUUAGGUAGCUCUGUAAAUUUUGGGGUUUACAUCUUUAAUGCCUCCAAUAUAUUGAGAAUGCGCCAUGAAUUCUCAGUAAGAUUUAUAGCUUAUAAGGCUUUUAGAAAGUUUGCUAUUUACUAAAAACCUGAAAGAAAAUGUUAUUUUAGUCAAUUAUUGAAAAUUACAACAUUUAUUGGUUCAACGAUUAAUCAAUAGUAUACUUUUCCUACUUCUACUGAAACUUAACAGAACAUUUCUUAUCUAUGAUGCAAUUUUUAACUAAAUUGUCUAUACAAAUGGAAAAAAAAAACACCCCAAACCAUAAAUACCACAGAAACUUUUUAAAUUUACACAGUGAUUUCCCCUGAAACCACUGCACAACCAAGCAAAAAAAAAAAAAAAAAAAAAAAAUCAAAGCAAGGCAAAGUUCAGGUUAAGAAGGCAAGCAACUGGCUAUACAUACUGAAAACUUGUCUUCAGGCUACUAACUUACUUUCCAAAUUGGACAAAAGUCAAAAUGCUAAAUUUAUUCUUAGCUUUGAAAAUGCAAUUUCCUGGUUCUGUUAGAUGAGUUUCAAAUCACAUGCUUUUAGGAAACAUGCAAUAUAAACAUGUUUAAAGGCAUAUACUCAAAAAUUUAUAGUAGUUUCACAAGUUCUAAGCUACAAUUUUAUUCCCCAUAUUAACUAUCAGAGUUAGCACAGAGACAAGCUCACAGAUUGCAUCUAAUCUUUGGUUGCAAUUGUUCCACCUGUUAUCUAGCCCUCUAAGAAAUAAAACAACAACGACAACACUUUGAGGUCUCAAUCCACUUUACGAAAAGAAAGCUUUAUGAAAAAGCCUGAACAAUGAAUUCAAACAUUAAGGAGAAAAUGAGAAACGUUAGGUGUGUGAAGUAGGAAAUGUUAAUUUCAUGCACUUAGGAACACACACUCACACCCCACAGUAGUAGAAGCAGUAGAAGAGGAAAACACUACAUGUGUAGGGGUAGAAAUAUUUGUUACAUCAUGAUGCUGGCUGGCGAUGGAGGGUUGCCGCCUUAGAGCCCCCUGAAUGGAACUUCCACUCUGGAAAGCAUUCACUACAUCCAUCUGCAAGGAAUCAGAGAUUGUGACAGCUUGCUCAGCAAGAGAGAGAGAGAACAAGAGAAAGGACCAUUCCAUCUAUCAACAUAUAAAAAGAAAAAGGCACUUUUUACACAGCAUAUAGGCAAGAAUAGCAUUUUGAGAUGAAGUGGGGGAUGGGGGAGCUAGGAAAAAAGGAGCUUAGGGGCAUAUAGACACAUUCUUUCAUAAUCAGUUAAAAGUCUCACUCAUUCCAGGCACCAGUAUUACUUUUCAAGAGAAUACAAUUUGUGGGUUGGGAAGGCUAGAGAGGAAGUUUAAGGAGCACACUCGAACCUCCUCCCCAGGUCAAAAAGCCCUGGCUCCCAUCAUCUCUCCUACCUCUCUACCAGGCCCAUACCUGUGUUUGGAUUCUGUUCAGACCUCUAAACCACAAGAUUUGGCCACGCCGCAACUCCCUUUCAGCGUGAUCAAUCUCUUCAACAUCCUCUGCUAAUUCCUCCUCAGGUAUUUCUUCCUUUUGUGUUCCAUGACCAGCUUCUUUGAGGAAUUUUAAACGGCUAGUUGGAAUUGUUGAAAUAAGCUACAACACAGGGGAAUGAACUUAGAAAUAAAUCAUAUCAAGUAAAGGUAAGCUGAUCAACUGUAAUACUAAAGGUAUUAAAAGUGGUGAGAGUAUCCGACUAUCUUUACCAAUGAAGUAAUGGGAUCCUGUUGAUUAGUCUUUCUCUCCCAGAGCAAAAUACAUUCUUCUCUUAGCUACACAAAAGAUUUGAGUUUGAAGGAUAAAAAGUUUUCCUAAAUGGAAAUUAACCUGAUUACAUUUUUCAUAUUUUCAUCAGGACAUUCAAGACAGUACAUUGUAAAACCAUGCUCUGAUAUAUGUAUUUACUUAAAAAGUCCUAUUUAUUUUGAAUACAAUGAAAAUGGCAGGUGGUCUUACUAGAUGCAAAACACGUUUACAUUUCAUUAAUGCUGUCAGAGUUCAAUGAGAAAAAAUGUAUAAAAUUUUUAAAAAAAUCAUUAAGGUUACACUGAAAAUAGUUUUGUUACAUAUUUUUUUUAAAAUGCAACAGUUUAAAAUUGGAUUAGUACUGAUUGAUGACGCCAAACAAAAACAGAUGCCCUAGAAAACACAAAGGAUACAAGAAACACCAAUACACGUAUAUUAGCUUAUGUGUUAACAUCCAUUCUCUAAGGCAGCAGUUGGGUUUAUCAGGGAGAAACAAGCAUGUAGUCAGCUACAGAAUUCUGCUUGGAGAACUUCUAGUACACCCACCUCAUUUCACCAAGGUGAAAUAGGCUUCAAGGCACAUAAAGUGACUUGCUCAUGGAGUGACUAGGAACCUAGGUCUCCUGACCACCAAAGGCAGUGCUUGUUCUACCAUGGUACACUUAGUAUGGGUCUUACUUAAAAGAUGAUCUCUAUUAAUGAGGUACUCAAAAUAGAUAAGAAACCUCAGAAUCUAGAAACAUAGUUAAGAAAAAGAAGAGACACAAAGAUGUAAAGAUUGGGCUACAUUUAAGGAAAACCUGAAAGUCUGGUUUCACUGAUUUGCAGAAUGACAAUAAAUUAGCUCAUGCAAAUUAUAUGCCAUAAUAUAUAUUAACCUUCAUCUAUGAAAAUGUUAGAUUUUCUAUAAAUUAGUUUUAUAGUAAUGGGCUUAAAAUGAACAAUGCAUAAAUCACUGUCACAUUUAAAAAAUAAUGACAUGCAUUUGCAAGUAAGCUGCCUAUAGUAAAUAUGAGGUAUAUCUCUUAUUUCAGGCACUUUAUUUCAUAUAUACACUGUUAAAGCUAUUCAAUUCAAAUCUAAAACAUCAUUUUGUGACCCCUUUUUCCAGGUAACAUUAUUUUUAUAAAAACAUUCUCUAAGGUCAGUUUUUCCUAUGCUGCAUAUUGGAUUAAAUUACAGAACAAAAUGACAAUGUAUUUUUUUUUUUUUUUUUGAGAUGAAGUCUCGCUCUUCUCUCCCUGGCUAGAGUGCAAUGGCGCGAUCUUGGCUCACUGCAACCUCUGCCUCCUGGGUUCAAGCGAUUCUCCUGCCUCAGCCUCCCAAGUAGCUGGGAUUACAGGCGCCUGCCACCAUGCCCAGCUAAUUUUUAUACUUUUAGUAGAGACGGGGUUUCACCAUGUUGGCCAGGCUGGUCUCUAACUCCUUACCUCAGGUGAUCCACCCGCCUCGGCCUCCCAAAGUGCUGGGAUUACAGGCGUGAGCCACCGCACCCGGCCAUGUAUUUUUUACAUUGUUGUAAAAAAUUUUUUUCUGAAAAUGUAAAAAUAGGUUAUAGAGUAAAAGAUACAGAUAUUAGCAUCCUAACCAGUUAUAAAUACAUCAUUUUUAAAAACCGCUACAAAACUUCUAAAAAACAAGUUAAAAAAACACAUAAAAAGUUAGGAUAGUAUUUUAUAGUACAGGCAUAAUCAUAAUGAACAAGUGACAUACUGGAACUAAUACGACAUUAAAAAAACUUAUCUUUGAAUGCCCUCUCUUUACUCACCACAUUAACCAUUUAGAAUCAAGUAAUGAAACUGUUAAAGAAAAUACACACUAGAAAUUAAAAAAAAAAAUCACUUUAGGUUUAAACAAAAACUGAUGAAAUUUUUACCUGGCCCCAGAGUAAUGUUCCCAUUCCUAGGAAUAUUGACCAUAGCCACUGUUCUAUUGAAAGUUCUGAACAACUGAAAGGUUUUCCACCAAACUGCACAAUUAUUAUCUGGAGGAAUAAUCAAGAGUAAAUUUACUUAAAUCUUAAAUUUUAAAAUUCAUAUACUUAAAAAAAUAUCAAAUUUAUGUCCUCUAAAACAAGGUGAACAACCACUAUUCUGAUGAAUUGUAUUAUAUUAGUCACAACUGAAAAUAAGACAACUGAAAUAGACCUUUCCUCUUUCCCCUCCAGUCCACUUUGCCUCUUAGAAAAAAAGACAACUGAAAUAAAGUAAAAUCUCUGCCCAAUAUUUUUGAUGCAUGCGUAUUUCAUGUUUAAAUUACGCUUACUAAAAAGUAAAAUUCUUAUGACCAAGAAUAAUAAUUUUAUACUGUUUCCAAUAUAACCCCAAGCAACUACAUUCCCCUGUAUUUAGUACAACUCUUCAAAUAAUCUGUGCCUUUCUCAAAAUAUAGUACUCUUUUGUAGAAAAGACUGUAUGUUACUGGAAAAAUGCACAAUAUUAAAAAAAUUCCACAUAGCUGUUUAUUUCUAGUUAACAUUUAGACAUACUAAGAUAAACACAGACUAUAUGAGAAGAAAGGCAACUUGGAAAGUUCUAUGAAAUAUGGGCUAACUCAGGUGAGGUGAUCUCAGAUUUGCUCUCCUUUAUGAAAAGAGUGAGGUCUGAUGAUGAAUAUAAAUUCAUAAUACAGUGCUUAUGUUUUGCUUGUUAUUCUAAAAGGCCUAAAAUAGUGUGCAUGGAAAUAUUAAGAAUUAACUGGGGUUGGGUGUGGUGACUCAUACCUGUAAUUCUAGCACUUUUGGAGGCUGAGGUGAGAGGACUGCUUGAGCCCAGGAGUUCAAGACCAGCCUAGGCAACAUAGCAAGACCCUGUCUUAAUUAAAAAAUAAAUAAUUUUUUAAAAAAAGAAUCAAUUAACAAUAUUCACCCUCCUGUGAGUCUGACAGGCCUCUCUUUGAUAUGGCAGUUAACUAGUUCCCAAAUAUUAAAAUCAAAAAUAAUUUUGGUAGUUAACAUUUUAAAACCUUAAAGUUACAAUUCCUUUCUUUUUAGCUCUACUUUAUUCAAAUUCAAGUCAUUUUCACUUCUCGGUUCCACUAUUUUUUAAGUUAAUUUGUGCACUUGUACAGAUAGAUUUCCAACUGCUUUGUUAGUAGCCCAAUUAGAUUACAACUGAUUUGACAAUCAGGUCUGGAUUUUAGUAGAGAUAUAAAACUGAAGUAAUUUUCUUUUAUAAAUCAAGAAAAUAAUGAGCAUGAAGAAUUCAAUAUGUAUUUGUACAAGUGAUCUUAAUUUUUUUUAAAAUUUAAACCUGAUCUUUUUUUUGGUAUAAUGUGGGAUGUAAAAAGAAUACUAAAAUGCUGGGAAACAAUUAAUUGAUUGGCUGACUUUGUUUCCUAAGAAAUAAUAUCUUUCACUUUACAGUUGGAAGAAAUAAAACUGUUUGUCUAGUUGGUUGUGGCAUUUACUUCUAAGAACAGGAGAUUCAGUUCCCAUAUUCUUUAACAUAUACCUUAAAUCACCAUGAUAUUAUAUAUGUCACCAAGGCAACAGUUCCACACAUGUUCCACACAAGUGAUUGCUAGAACAAGCUGUUUACCUAAUGUCUCCCAUUUAACAGGCAAAUUUGAAACUAUCUUUUCCAAUUACCCACCUGUACCACAAAAGUGCCUAAAACAAUUGUGCAGAAGAUGGCAUUGUUAAAGAUUCCUUCGAAUACAUUUCUUUCACCAUGAAUUUUCCGGG
rnacentral:lncRNA from 1 species